rnacentral:lncRNA from 1 species
GUUCCUGCUAUAAGAUCCAAAGAUGUGACCUUCCAGUUGUGUAAAGCUCUUAAAGGCUGUCUAAGUGUAUCAAGUGUGCUGAGGAACCUGGAGUUAAAUGGACUAGUUCUGAGAGAGAGGGAUUUAAUUAUUUUAACAAAGGGAUUGAAUAAAUCGACUUCUUUGGUGCACCUGUCUCUUGCAAACUGUCCAAUUGGAGAUGGAGGUUUAGAAAUUAUUUGUCAAGCUGUAAAGACCUCUAUCACUCUUAAGACAGUCAACUUCACUGGGUGUAGUCUGACAUGGCAGGGAGCAGAUCACAUGGCCAAGAUCUUAAAGGUGACUUUGUAUUCAGAAGUUUGUGAAAAUGUGUUAUGUAUUUGAAGCACAGUAAUACUUUGGUAUGAGAUGGCAAUUAUUUUUAUCUUUUCAUUCAUAUGGUGAUUGUAAUUAUAUUUCUAAUGAAAGAAUGUGACCUGUGUUUAGCUUGGGGUUCUACCAUUUAGUAAGAUAUGUACUUAAUCUUAGAUGAGAUUUUAAAGUAUAAUGCAUUAUGAAUUAUACAUUUGUGUACCUUUAGUUAUUGAAAAUAUGUUUUGGGCACUGAAAGAAAUUUUGUGCAUUACAGUCUUCAUAUUACUUCAGUGACUCAAAUAUUAACUGCUAUUAUAUAUGAACCAAUAAAAAUCAUAGUUUUUAA